rnacentral:rRNA from 1 species
CUUGCUCUCCGGGUGACGAGCGGCGGACGGGUGAGUAAUGUCUGGGAAACUGCCUGAUGGAGGGGGAUAACUACUGGAAACGGUAGCUAAUACCGCAUAACGUCUUCGGACCAAAGUGGGGGACCUUCGGGCCUCACGCCAUCAGAUGUGCCCAGAUGGGAUUAGCUAGUAGGUGGGGUAAUGGCUCACCUAGGCGACGAUCCCUAGCUGGUCUGAGAGGAUGACCAGCCACACUGGAACUGAGACACGGUCCAGACUCCUACGGGAGGCAGCAGUGGGGAAUAUUGCACAAUGGGCGCAAGCCUGAUGCAGCCAUGCCGCGUGUGUGAAGAAGGCCUUCGGGUUGUAAAGCACUUUCAGCGAGGAGGAAGGGUGGUGUGUUAAUAGCGCAUCACAUUGACGUUACUCGCAAAAGAAGCUCCGGCUAACUUCGUGCCAGCAUCCGCGGUAAUACGGAUGGUGCAAGCGUUAAU